AGGGCAAGUCUGGUGCCAGCAGCCGCGGUAAUUCCAGCUCCAAUAGCGUAUAUUAAAGUUGUUGCGGUUAAAAAGCUCGUAGUUGAAUCUGUGUGUCACGAUGCUGGUUCACCGCUCGCGGUGUUUAACUAGCAUGCCGUGAGACGUCCUACCGGUGGGCUUAGCUCUUCACGGGGCGGUCCAACUAAUAUCCCAUCGCGGUGCUCUUCAUCGAGUGUCGAGGUGGGCCGGUACGUUUACUUUGAACAAAUUAGAGUGCUUAAAGCAGGCUAUCUUCGCCUGAAUACUGUGUGCAUGGAAUAAUGGAAUAGGACCUCGGUUCUAUUUUGUUGGUUUUCGGAACCCCNNNGGUGAUNNNNNNGGACAGAUGGGGGCAUUCGUAUUGCGACGUUAGAGGUGAAAUUCUUGGAUCGUCGCAAGACGGACAGAAGCGAAAGCAUUUGCCAAAAAUGUUUUCAUUAAUCAAGAACGAAAGUUAGAGGUUCGAAGGCGAUCAGAUACCGCCCUAGUUCUAACCAUAAACGAUGCCAGCUAGCGAUCCGCCGAAGUUCCUCCGAUGACUCGGCGGGCAGCUUCCGGGAAACCAAAGCUUUUGGGUUCCGGGGGAAGUAUGGUUGCAAAGCUGAAACUUAAAGGAAUUGACGGAAGGGCACCACCAGGAGUGGAGCSUGCGGCUUAAUUUGACUCAACACGGGAAACCUCACCAGGCCCGG
rnacentral:rRNA from 1 species